CGAAGCCGUAGCGAAAGCGAGUCUGAAUAGGGCGCUUAGUCAGAUGCUGCAGACCCGAAACGAAGUGAUCUAUCCAUGAGCAAGUUGAAGCUAGUGUAAGAACUAGUGGAGGACUGAACCCAUAGGCGUUGAAAAGCCCCGGGAUGACUUGUGGAUAGGGGUGAAAGGCCAAUCAAACUUCGUGAUAGCUGGUUCUCUCCGAAAUAUAUUUAGGUAUAGCGUUGUGUCGUAAUAUAAGGGGGUAGAGCACUGAAUGGGCUAGGGCAUACACCAAUGUACCAAACCCUAUCAAACUCCGAAUACCUUAUAUGUAAUCACAGCAGUCAGGCGGCGAGUGAUAAAAUCCGUCGUCAAGAGGGAAACAACCCAGACUACCAGCUAAGGUCCCUAAAUCUUACUUAAGUGGAAAACGAUGUGAAGUUACUUAAACAACCAGGAGGUUGGCUUAGAAGCAGCCAUCCUUUAAAGAAAGCGUAAUAGCUCACUGGUCUAGUGAUUUUGCGCGGAAAAUAUAACGGGGCUAAAGUAAGUACCGAAGCUGUAGACUUAGUUUACUAAGUGGUAGGAGAGCGUUCUAUUUGCGUCGAAGGUAUACCGGUAAGGAGUGCUGGAGCGAAUAGAAGUGAGCAUGCAGGCAUGAGUAGCGAUAAUUAAUGUGAGAAUCAUUAACGCCGUAAACCCAAGGUUUCCUACGCGAUGCUCGUCAUCGUAGGGUUAGUCGGGUCCUAAGUCGAGUCCGAAAGGGGUAGACGAUGGCAAAUUGGUUAAUAUUCCAAUACCAACAUUAGUGUGCGAUGGAAGGACGCUUAGGGCUAAGGGGGCUAGCGGAUGGAAGUGCUAGUCUAAGGUCGUAGGAGGUUAUACAGGCAAAUCCGUAUAACAAUACUCCGAGAACUGAAAGGCUUUUUGAAGUCUUCGGAUGGAUAGAAGAACCCCUGAUGCCGUCGAGCCAAGAAAAGUUUCUAAGUUUAGCUAAUGUUGCCCGUACCGUAAACCGACACAGGUGGGUGGGAUGAGUAUUCUAAGGCGCGUGGAAGAACUCUCUUUAAGGAACUCUGCAAAAUAGCACCGUAUCUUCGGUAUAAGGUGUGGUUAGCUUUGUAUUAGGAUUUACUCCGAAAGCAAGGAAACUUACAACAAAGAGUCCCUCCCGACUGUUUACCAAAAACACAGCACUCUGCUAACUCGUAAGAGGAUGUAUAGGGUGUGACGCCUGCCCGGUGCUCGAAGGUUAAUUGAUGGGGUUAGCAUUAGCGAAGCUCUUGAUCGAAGCCCGAGUAAACGGCGGCCGUAACUAUAACGGUCCUAAGGUAGCGAAAUUCCUUGUCGGUUAAAUACCGACCUGCAUGAAUGGCGUAACGAGAUGGGAGCUGUCUCAAAGAGGGAUCCAGUGAAAUUGUAGUGGAGGUGAAAAUUCCUCCUACCCGCGGCAAGACGGAAAGACCCCGUGGACCUUUACUACAGCUUGACACUGCUACUUGGAUAAGAAUGUGCAGGAUAGGUGGGAGGCUUUGAGUAUAUGACGCCAGUUGUAUAUGAGCCAUUGUUGAGAUACCACUCUUUCUUAUUUGGGUAGCUAACCAGCUUGAGUUAUCCUCAAGUGGGACAAUGUCUGGUGGGUAGUUUGACUGGGGCGGUCGCCUCCCAAAUAAUAACGGAGGCUUACAAAGGUUGGCUCAGAACGGUUGGAAAUCGUUCGUAGAGUAUAAAGGUAUAAGCCAGCUUAACUGCAAGACAUACAAGUCAAGCAGAGACGAAAGUCGGUCUUAGUGAUCCGGUGGUUCUGUGUGGAAGGGCCAUCGCUCAAAGGAUAAAAGGUACCCCGGGGAUAACAGGCUGAUCUCCCCCAAGAGCUCACAUCGACGGGGAGGUUUGGCACCUCGAUGUCGGCUCAUCGCAUCCUGGGGCUGGAGCAGGUCCCAAGGGUAUGGCUGUUCGCCAUUUAAAGCGGUACGCGAGCUGGGUUCAGAACGUCGUGAGACAGUUCGGUCCCUAUCUGCCGUGGGCGUAAGAAGAUUGAAGAGAUUUGACCCUAGUACGAGAGGACCGGGUUGAACAAACCACUGGUGUAGCUGUUGUUCUGCCAAGAGCAUCGCAGCGUAGCUAAGUUUGGAAAGGAUAAACGCUGAAAGCAUCUAAGCGUGAAGCCAACUCUAAGAUGAAUCUUCUCUAAGCUCUCUAGAAGACUACUAGUUUGAUAGGCUGGGUGUGUAAUGGAUGAAAGUCCUUUAGCUGACCAGUACUAAUAGAGCGUUUGGCUUAUCUUUAAUAAAGCAU
rnacentral:rRNA from 1 species